rnacentral:rRNA from 1 species
AUUGAACGCUGGCGGCAGGCCUAACACAUGCAAGUCGAGCGGAUGAAGGGAGCUGGCUCCUGGAUUCAGCAGAGGACGGGUGAGUAAUGCCUAGGAAUCUGACUGGUAGUGAGGGAUAACGUCCGGAAACGGGCUCUCAUACCGCAAACGUCCUGGGGGAGAUAGUGGGGGAACUUCGGACCUCAGGCUUUCAGAUUAGCCUAGGGCGGAUUAGCUAGCUGGCGGGCUGAAGGCCUACCAAGGCGACGAUCCGGAACCGGUCCAAGCGAAUGGUCAGUCACGCUGUAACUGAGACACGGUCCAGACUCCUACCGGAGGCACCGGUGGGGAAUAUUCGACAAUGGGCGAUAGCCUGAUCCACGCAUGCCGCGUGUGUGAAGCAGGUCUUCGGAUUGUAAAGCACUUUGAGUUGCGAGGAAGGGAAGUCAGUUAAUACGUUGCUGCUUUGACGUUACCAUAAGAAUAAGCACCGGCUAACUCCGUG